rnacentral:rRNA from 1 species
UACGUAGGGUCCGAGCGUUGUCCGGAGUUACUGGGCGUAAAGCGCGCGCAGGCGGUCCGUCAAGCAUGGCGUGAAAGCCCCCGGCUCAACCGGGGAGGGUCGUCGUGGACUGGCGGACUUGAGGGCGGUAGGGGCUGGUGGAAUUCCCGGUGUAGUGGUGAAAUGCGUAGAGAUCGGGAGGAACACCCGUGGCGAAGGCGGCCAGCUGGGCCGACCCUGACGCUGAGGCGCGAAGGCGUGGGGAGCGAACGGG